CGGGCUGGUCCCUCCGCCGAGAGAGGGAGGGCUUCCCUACCAAGUAGCUGGAUCCCGGUCCAGACAUAUGGGGCGCCGGAACUGGACCUGCCUCGAUGCCCCCGAAGGCCUGAACUCCAGAGCCUUAAGCCCCCACCGAAGUCACGGAGGAGCCCCUCCGCCCUGAGCCCCGUAGCUGACUGCCGAAGCUGCUUCUGCAUUUGCCGUCGGCGGCCUGCAUCUCUGCGUGACUCUCCGGUUAGCCGCGUUCAGUUGUUGACUGUUCACUCUUCACGAGGCGGAACGAAGUGGACAACACCCAACAAGUGGUUCCCUUGGCUCACUUCCGUUUCUGUUCAAGCUCCACCCGGCGUCGCAUCUUUUUUCCUUGCUGGUCGCUUUGAGAUGGCAGCCAAAGCAGCAUUUACAAAUGAAGCUAUUGCUCUCACUGAGAAGAAGAUAGAUAUGACUCUUGAUGACAUCGUUAAGAUGUCCAAAAAACCUGCUUCAAAGGGAAAGAACACAAGGAUAGUGAAUAAGAAUGGAGGUUUAAUCAACAAAGGCACUUCCCAAACACGUGCUUCACAAUUAAAACAGUUUUCAGAUUCAAGGGCAACCCUUCGGCAGGGAGUUCUUGCUCAAAGGAGAUCCAAUUUUAAAGCCAACUCUCAGUUCCCCUUUGCAGUAGAGGCGGUUAGGAAAGUUGCAAAUGAACCAGUCCGGAUGAGGGUGUCCAACUGGCACAAGACAAGACCUAUACCAGUUGCCCAGAGGAAGGUUGGACAAGUCUUUUCCUCUUAUCCUGCCAAGGUGGUGCAGCAAUCGAACAUUCCAAAGGGGAGGCCUCAGACUCUGGACUCGUUGUUCGCAAACUUGAAGGAGCAAAGGCUAAUAAAAGCUAGGGGGAUGGCUCUGAAUGGCCAAGCAGGCCGAAGACGUGCCCGUGUUCCUCCGAACAGCUAUCUUGCCAACAACCGUGGGAGGCCAAGGCAGUGAGGGCCCUUGGAUUGACGGGUUGUCAGGUGGAAUUUGAGCAAUUAUGACGGAUUUUCAUGCAUGUCAACAGGCUGAGAAGAAUAAAAGGGCUUCUCAUUGUAUGAUACAAAAGGUGGUCCGUCUCAAAAAGCUUCUACUGUGUGAACAUGUACACCAAGAGACAAAGAGACUAUUGGUUCAUUUUGAGCUAUUCUCCCUUGCAGAUAUGCAUUAGUUGUUGGUACUGCAGUUGAAGUAAGAUCGAGGAACCUUUCUUCCUAGAUGAACUUUUCUAGAAACACAACUUGAUAUUGCGACAAUGAAUGAUUGUGACAUUCAGUUGAGAAUAUUAUUGCAAGCUGACAAAAGAGAUCGAUGCGGAGGAAGGCAUGGCAGCGUCCAUAAGCCUCCAAAAACAAUCAGAUUCCUCAACAUUAUGAUUCUAAUGACCA